UACGGAGGGGGCUAGCGUUGUUCGGAAUUACUGGGCGUAAAGCGCACGUAGGCGGAUUGUUAAGUCGGGGGUGAAAGCCCGGGGCUCAACGACGGAAUGGCCUCCGAUACUGGCAAUCUUGAGGUCGGGAGAGGUGAGUGGAAUGGCGAGUGUAGAGGUGAAAUUCGUAGAUAUUCGCCGGAACACCAGUGGCGAAGGCGGCUCACUGGCCCGAUACUGACGCUGAGGUGCGACAGCGUGGGGAGCAAACAGG
rnacentral:rRNA from 1 species